UACGUAGGGGGCAAGCGUUAUCCGGAUUUACUGGGUGUAAAGGAAGCGCAGACGGCAGUGCAAGUCUGGAGUGAAAGCCCGGGGCUCAACCCCGGGACUGCAUUGGAAACUAUGUAACUAGAGUACCGGAGAGGUAAGCGGAAUUCCUAGUGUAGCGGUGAAAUGCGUAGAUAUUAGGAGGAACACCAGUGGCGAAGGCGGCUUACUGGACGAUGACUGACGCUGAGGCUCGAAAGCGUGGGGAGCAAACAGG
rnacentral:rRNA from 1 species